GACGAACGCUGGCGGCGUGCUUAACACAUGCAAGUCGAACGGAAAGGCCCUGCUUUUGUGUGGUGCUCGAGUGGCGAACGGGUGAGUAACACGUGAGUAACCUGCCCUUGUCUUUGGGAUAACUUCAGGAAACUGGGGCUAAUACCGGAUAUGAUCUCCUGCUGCAUGGUGGGGGUUGGAAAGUUUCGGCGGUUGGGGAUGGACUCGCGGCUUAUCAGCUUGUUGGUGGGGUAGUGGCUUACCAAGGCUUUGAGGGGUAGCCGGCCUGAGAGGGUUAACGGCGACAUUAGGCCUGAGAGAGGGCGCAGAAUCGUACGGGAGGCAGGGGUGGGGAGGAUGACACAAUAGGGGGGAGCCAGAGGCGGAAAUGCCGCGUGCGGGAAGACGGGUUACGGGUUGAAAACCGAUUUCGACUGUGACGAAGCGUGAGUGACGGUAAUGGGUAAAGAAGCACCGGCUAACUACGUG
rnacentral:rRNA from 1 species